rnacentral:lncRNA from 1 species
UGUAACUUUGGAUUGGGUACACCUUAUUUCUGAAAAAUUAGAAGGAAGAGAGUUUUUGUAAAGACAUCCUUUUCUCUCUUGCAGCUUCUAUCAGGAUUUCAGGAGGGCAGGCAGAACUUUAAAGCAAAGGAAAUUGCUUGUUUUUGUGAAAUUAACCAGUCUGUUAUCAAGGCGGAGGACAAGAUAUGAACGCUAAUCAUUGUGAAGAAGCUCAUUAUGGAAUUUUCUCCAAUACAUAGGCAAAAG